rnacentral:rRNA from 1 species
UUGAACGCUGGCGGCAUGCUUUACACAUGCAAGUCAAACGGCAGCGCGGGCUUCGGCCUGGCGGCGAGUGGCGAACGGGUGAGUAAUGCAUCGGAACGUGCCCAGUAGUGGGGGAUAGCCCGGCGAAAGCCGGAUUAAUACCGCAUACGACCUGAGGGUGAAAGCGGGGGACCGAAAGGCCUCGCGCUAUUGGAGCGGCCGAUGUCGGAUUAGCUAGUUGGUGGGGUAAAGGCUUACCAAGGCGACGAUCCGUAGCUGGUCUGAGAGGACGACCAGCCACACUGGGACUGAGACACGGCCCAGACUCCUACGGGAGGCAGCAGUGGGGAAUUUUGGACAAUGGGGGCAACCCUGAUCCAGCCAUGCCGCGUGCGGGAAGAAGGCCUUCGGGUUGUAAACCGCUUUUGUUCGGGAAGAAAUCCUCUGGGCUAAUACCCCGGGGGGAUGACGGUACCGGAAGAAUAAGCACCGGCUAACUACGUG